UACGGGGGGGGUAAGCGUUGUUCGGAAUUACUGGGCGUAAAGGGCUCGUAGGCGGCCAACUAAGUCAGACGUGAAAUCCCUCAGCUUAACUGGGGAACUGCGUCUGAUACUGGAUGGCUUGGAUUCGGGAGAGGAAUGCGGAAUUCCAGGUGUAGCGGUGAAAUGCGUAGAUAUCUGGAGGAACACCGGUGGCGAAGGCGGCCUUCUGGACAGUGACUGACGCUGAGACGCGAAAGCGUGGGGAGCAAACAGG
rnacentral:rRNA from 1 species